rnacentral:rRNA from 1 species
AGAGUUUGAUCAUGGCUCAGGAUGAACGCUGGCGGCGUGCUUAACACAUGCAAGUUGAACGUGAGAAUAGCAAUAUUUGAAAGUGGCAAACGGGUGAGUAACACGUGGGAACCUGCCUCGAAGUGGGGGAUAACGAUUGGAAACGGUCGCUAAUACCGCACGGUUCUGCUCUGAUGGGAAUGGAGCAGAUAAAGAUUUAUCGCUUUGAGAGGGGCCCGCGGCCGAUUAGCUAGUUGGUAAGGUAAAGGCUUACCAAGGCGAUUAUCGGUAGCUGGUCUGAGAGGACGAUCAGCCACACGGGAACUGAGACACGGUCCCGACUCCUACGGGGGGCAGCAGUGAGGAAUAUUGGGCAAUGGGCGAAAGCCUGACCCAGCAACGCCGCGUGGAGGAUGAAGGCUUUAGGGUUGUAAACUCCUUUUGUGGGGGAAAAGAAUGGAUGGUACCCCAAGAAUAAGUCACGGCUAACUACGUG